CAAAAAAUAAGAACUUCCACAACACGAAAAUUUCUGAUAUUGGUGUUCUUCCAUCAGCAGCAAAAAAAAAUCAACUUCAUCACCUUCCAUUAAUCAGGCAGCAUAAUGUCAAGAAAUAGCUAUGGUGGUUCCAUGCCCCCAAUUCCCAGAAGAUGUCAUUGUGGGUUUGUUGUAACCAAAAUCAGAGCCUGGACAAGAGACAACCCUGGUAGAAGGUUUGUAGCAUGCCCUGACUACGAUGCUGAGACUGAUACAACGGGGUGCAAGUUAUUCAAAUGGUGUGAUGUUGAAGAGCCUAUAGAGUGGCAAAAAAAUGUGAUUUUGGGGUUAAUGGAGGAGAAGCAGGAGCUUAGAAGGGAAGUGAUGUUGCUGAGGCACAAUUUGAAGACAGCAAAUGAGAAGGCAAGGAAGAGUGAAUCAAAAUAUAUCAUGCUGAAAAUGAAGAAGGGUGGAUUUAUGUGUGUUAGGGCUUGGAUUUGUGUACUCCUUGUUGUUCUUGUUUGUUUAUGGUACAAUAUAUAACUAUGUAAGGGGUUUAUUUAGGACUCUAAUUACUAUAUCAAGGCAUGUAGUAGCAUAUUAUUAAUUAAUUAUAAGUUACCUUUCAACUA